CAGUGGUUCUCAAAUGGGGGUCCGCGGACCCUAGGGGGUCCGCGAAGCCAUUUCUAUGAUCCACGAAACCCUCACCCGUUUCUUUUUUACAUUUUUUGGAGUUUAUUUUACAUAUGCAACUCUGUUUAAGCGCGACUGUGCCACGUAUUGAUGAACUAGUAUCCAAAAUGAAGUGAUGUGGCACGUUUGUUUGAUGUUUUUGGUAUCAAUAAAAGGCACCUGUUUCAUGCUC
rnacentral:lncRNA from 1 species